AUUGAACGCUGGCGGCAGGCCUAACACAUGCAAGUCGAGCGCAGUGGGGACGGGUGAGUAACACGUGGGUAACCUCCCAUCAGAGGGGAUAACACUUGGAAACAGGUGCUAAACCGAUACUGCUGGAUGGACCCGCGGGGCAUUAGCUAGUCGGUGAGGUAACGGCUCACCAAGGCCACGAUGCAUAGCCGGCCUGAGAGGAGGACCAGCCAGACUGGGACUGAGACACGGCCCAGACUCCUACGGGAGGCAGCAGUGGGGAAUCUUGGGCAAUGGGCGAAAGUCUGACCGAGCAACGCCGCGUGUGUGAAGAAGGUUUUCGGAUUGUAAAGCUCUUUUGGUAGAGAAGCGGUAUCUAACGAGAAAGCCACGGCUAACUACGUGCCAGCAGCCGCGGUAAUAC
rnacentral:rRNA from 1 species